GGCAAUUUUUAAUAAAUAUUACUUAAUGGAUAUUAUAUUAAGAUAUGUUUAUGAAGUCAUGAAAACUUUCGAAUAAGAAAAAAAUUCAAUUCGUUUAGGGGAAUCUCUAUGAUAUAAAAAUAUAGAUAGUAUGAUGCGUUUUUCCGUUUUAAAGAUCACAAAAACAUUGUUACGGAUAUAAUUAAAAAUAGAUGAGAUUUAUUUAUUUCAUUGAUAGCAUUACGUACUAUACCGAGUUAACGCCUAGGUUUAUAGGUACUGCGUAUUAAUCUCUUCCAUGAAUUUAUACGUUACUUUAUUUAUUGUAUAAAUUAAUUCUAUCAUGAUGAUAAUGCAAUAUUUACAUGCUAUGAAUCGAAAUAAAUAGCAGAUGCAACAAGUGAGAUAACAGGAAAUGCAACAAGUGAUAAAAAACGAUGGAUAUAGUAUAAUUAUUACGUAAUAUAUAUAUGAUUUUUUGAAGAUUCAGAAAUUAUCAUUGUGGAAGAUAAAACCUUAUGAUAAGAAUCAGGAGCAUUAUUGAUUGAUAAGUAUUGAUUGUAUAUGACGACAUAUUGUCUUAUUUUAUCAAUUUGAAAUUCCCUCCAUUUGUUGUAGAGAAAUGGGGAAGCAGUCUGCUCGUUGGAAUCAUUCGCUGUCGAGAAGCAGUAACUCUUGGAACAAUGAAGGAAGAGGGAGGAAGCAUGCUCAUUGGAAUCACUUGUUUUCGAGAAGCAGAAAUCGUUUGAAUACGCGAACAACUAGUUAUUAGUCUUUAUUUUAAAUAUAUAUUUCUUAAUACUCCGUAAACGAUUAUGUAAUAUUCGAAAUAUUUAUACAAAAUUGAAUGUUCGAAGAAAUACAUUUUCAUAAUAAAUAAAGACGAGGUGUGUAUGAAAAGAAGAAAGACGAGAGAGAGGGAAGAAAUAGAAAGAAAAAGGAGGAAGAGGAAGAAAACAAUAGGUUUGUAUUUUCUUUUUUGUUUACAUUCAACGGUCUAUCGUAUACAAGAACAGGAUUUAGCUUCAGUAAGUAGUGUACACGUAACGAGUGAGGAAGGUGGACAGAUAUGAGACGUAAUACGACAAAUUCUGCUUCGCCAAAAAGAAGAAAAUAUCACGUAGCAAGGAUAUUCUGCAGUAUAUACGCAAGUAUUUAUUUAUUACAUUUAUAUUAAAA